UCCCCUAGUAACGGCGAGUGAAGCGGGAAGAGCUCAAAGUGGUAAUCGCUUCGGCGAAUUGUAGUCUACAGAGGUGUGACCAUUUAGGCACCCGGUCCAAGUCCCUUGGAAGAGGGCGUCAUGGAGGGUGACAACCCCGUCUGUGGCUGGGCUGCCUGGAGUACGGUCCGCUCUCAAUGAGUCGAGUUGCUUGGGAUUGCAGCUCAAAGUGGGUGGUAAAUUCCAUCUAAAGCUAAAUAUGGGUGGGAGACCGAUAGCGAACAAGUACCGUGAGGGAAAGAUGAAAAGAACUUUGAAAAGAGAGUCAAACAGUGCUUGAAAUUGCUGAAAGGGAACCGAAGUGGACCAGUGUUGGCGGCAGAGGCGUACUUCUCCUGGGCUCUGGCUCAGGGGCGCUGCUCUCUGUCUUGCCUGGUCAGGGCCGGUUCUGUGACCGCAGGACACGUUUGGCCAGGAGGUAGGGUGCUUGCAUCUGAAACUGGCCAUCUUCUGCUGCUGUCUGGACCGAGGCAUUGCGCAAGCAAGGGCCCUGAC
rnacentral:rRNA from 1 species